rnacentral:lncRNA from 1 species
CAUUUUAGAUUAGAUGGGUUCACUUGAUUUUACCAUUUUUCUUUUUCAAGUUAUUCCUUUUUAAAGCUAAAUAUGCGGCUUGAUAGUGGAGAAAUUAAUGGGUUAUCAUAAAACUACUUACUAUAAGAAAAGUGAGUCUCCCGUAUCUCAACCCUCUGGCCAUUGGCGUUGAUUUUUUUGGUAAGAUUGACACCCCGUGAUCAAUGGUUAAAUUUAAGGAGUUUGUUGUUUUUGAUUAUAUUUUUGCAUUUUGUAUAUACUUAUGGUUUUAAUGGGUAUAUGAAUGUUUGGAUAUUAUUAAACAAGAACAAUGGGUAGUAAGGAUUUAUGAGACUGGUGCUUGAAUUGGGUAUCCAUUCAUUUCUGUGGGUUCUUCCCCUUUCUUUUUAUAUUUUUCCUCAUUCAAUUAUUUUUGCAUAAGGGAGUAAUUAUUUAUCGAAAAAUAAGCUUUUUGGAUUUUCUUGAAGUUGAUUGAUAUGCCCGUUGAAGAAGAUUGAACGCCUUUCCACUCUCUUAUUCUUCACAUCUUAGCUGGUAUUGCUUCAGAAUUGCAGAAGACAUGCUUGAUCGAAUAUUAUAUUUAUGGCAGAAUUUAUAAGACUUGUGGAUUUUGGAUAGUGAUUUCUUUCUUGCUAUUUUCAUUAUGGACGAAUCAUCUUGUGCAUUGUUGUCUAUUAGUUUCUCUCAUCAUACCUCAUUCUGCAUUUGAACUAGACAUAAUUAAAUUAGGUCAACUUUCUUGAAAACAUAUUUAUAAUUGCAUAUUAAUUCUGUGACAGGAUUAAGUUGCUGGCAAUGUUGAUAACAUUUCUGUUUGACUGCAGUUGAAUAUUAGUUAUGUCUGACAAUAAGAAAGUGAAGAGAGAGAUUACUUCAUUAUGACCUGUUUAAGCUGCUCCUUAUGGCAUUUACAUUUAUGUUUGGCUGUUGAACUUUAGUGCUAAAAUAUCAAGGAAACGAAAAGAUGGGAAAAAUGGGCUUUCAAUUUUCAGCAGUAGAGACAUGAGAAUACCUUGAAUAAUGAAUAGAACUUAUAAAUUCUUUCACCCCUGCUUCAAUGAUCUUGAAUCCUCAAACCUUAUUUUACUGUAAAUUAACAUUAGGAAGCCCGAAGCUCCAAUGAUGAUUUAUUAAGAUCCCUUUCAUGAUAAACGUCUGCUUCUGGUUCCUAAAAAUUUUAUUUUAUUCCAUUCUACAAUGCUAUACACUCUAUAAUCAGGGUUAAAGUAUAAUGAACAAAUAUACAUAGUCCUACCAUUUGUGCCACAUAUGGUUCCAGAGGGGAUCAAGCUUGAUCCCAAAUUUGGGGUACAGUAUCCUAGUAAAUUUUUUUAGAAUGUCCUUCCUACUCUAAGACGCUCUUCUUUCUUCCUAGAAGACAAUGUUUGUUCAGUUACAGUUGUGGGAUCUGUCUAGUCCACUCUAUCCACACCAUUGUGAGAUUCUUUAUAUCCUUUACAUCAUUUCAGUGCUGGCUUUACUUAUAGAAUGCUAGAUCACUACUUUUUGACCUGGUUGAAGUAAUGACAUAUAAUUGCCAUUACAGUCCAAUUUGGUUUCAGUAUUAAAUUGUUGGAUACAAGCAAAUCUGUCUAAGAGGACCGAAUUUAAAUUGAGACCAUUGUGACUCUUCUAGUCUUUUCUGGGAACUUGCCUAGUGGACUCUAUUCACAUAUAUAUUCAUCAAGGUAGGAGUGCAAAGCAAAACUAUCAGUGUUAAAUUUGAUGUGAAGAAUUUUGAUUGGAAAGAAUUUUGUGCUGUGGCAAGUGCAAGUCGAGAAUCUGUUGAUACAACACUAAUCGAAGUGUUGCCUCGAAAAAUAUCUAUUUGUAGUACAUACACCCUUGCUCUGGAAUUAGUCAAGUGAUGUACAAUUAGUAAAAAAAUUUACGCGUGUUUGUGGUUUUGGUUUUGUUAAGCCACAAUCAUUAUGGAAGGCUUGUGUUUUUUUCAUUAUUUUUUGAUAUUGAUCUCUGGUUUAUGCAUUACUAACGUUAAAUCUUUUAUUAUCUUGGAGGCAUCUUGUUUCAGCGUUCUAUGCUGUAGAUCCUAAUGGGGGUCAGAAAAUUGUUGCAGAACCAUAGUGAUGUCCUGCCAGCCAUAUCUGCUGGAGAUCAGCUCAGAUACAUAUGGAGGAUCUCCAUAUAGUAUCUAUUUCCCCUGUUAGUCCACUCAAGAUUGAUGAACAGAAGGCACAUGGAGGGCCUAUUGUGGGUAGCAAUUGUUUGUUUAAAUCAGUUAACACUAGUAGCUUUCCAAGAUCUCAUUUUCUACGGCAAUCUUGCAAAAGUGGCUUUACAAACAAAACAAACAAGUGGAGAUUGCGUUCUAAUUCUUCAUCUCAAAAUCCAUUCAACAGUGGUGCAUCAGAUGGGUCUGCUGAGGUAUGCAAGGGAGAUAAAGCUGCUGAAAGAAAUUCAAAUAAGAAAACUAGAAAGAGGGGAAAGAGGGGAAAGCGGAAUAAAAAUCUCCUGGGCAGUAAAGGCUUAACUGAGUAUGGAUAUGUAUGUGGAAAAUUGACGUCAGUCAGUGAAAAUACGCAUAGUUUUGGUCCGCCUGUAUAUAAAACUGAAUUGGCAGUUUCUCCACCAGAACCUUGUUGUAAUAGUAACAGUCAUCAGCCCAAAAAUAUUGAAAUAAUAAAUGGUCCAGCAAAAACAAAGGCAUUGACAUCCUAUGAAAAUCUGGUGGAGACAUCAAAAGCUUCAAACCUGUCUUCAUCUCAAAAUUUUAGUCAUGAAUCUCAUGCCUCUCAUUGCAAUGGACUCAAAAUUUUCAGUGGAGGGAGACAAUGUAUGCAUAAUAAAUCAAUCAGCUCCUUAGAUCAUCCUUGUUAUGCCAAGAUGAAUGACUCCCUUGUUUUGGAUUUCUUGUCACUUGGUUUAGAGAGUGAAGAAAGUUGUCCUGAAAAUUAUUUCAGGCUCUGCGAUGAAAAGAAUGAUGAUGCUGACAUUACAGAAUUGCCUCAUUACAUUAUCAGGAAACAGAUUUCUCCUGAAGAUAUGCUAAUUGGUAAUACUGAACAUUGUGAUGAUGCAGAGAACAUAGACAUAAUUAGGAAGGACUCUAAUUGUGAAAGAAAUUUGCAUAAUCCAGGAAUGAGAGAGAAGCAUUUAAGAAAAGUUCCAAAGAACUUUAAUAUCUUCAGAAGAUGCAGUUUCAGAAAUUUAAAACAGCAUUCUGGGAAAGAAAGCAGUAAUUCUGUAUGGCAGAAGGUUCAGAGAAAUGAAGGUGAAUGCAGACCUAAGUUUGAAAAGGUAGACUCAGUGUGUUCAGAAUUUUUUGAUGAGACAGAAGAGGGUCCUGUAUAUAAAAAGGAUAGUAAUGUUGCUGAAUGUUACAUGCUCUUGAAACCUGAAAAUAAAAAUCAGACACAGCUCAAGACUUCUGGAAAGCUGAAAAGAAAAAUGAGCCCAGGUUCAAAGAAAGAGUACAUCUCUCACUGUUGGAAAUCAUCCCAUGCUGUAAAGAUUUCUUCAAAUUUUUAUUCAAAGACUAAUAUGCGACAGAAUGAAUUCUUGGAAUCUGCUCAAAUAAGCCAGAGAAAAGGUAAUGGUGUUUCCAAUGCACAUUCGAGUAACUGGUGUCCUAGGAUUGGACAUCGUCCUGCGAAAGUUGAUAUCGGUACAUUUAAACAUAUUCACCAUACUGAAAUGUCGUCAACUAAUUUGGAGGCAUGUGACCGAGUCUAUAUUGCUGUUUCUGAUUUGACAGAUCAACCUGCAGAAAAUCAAGUGAACUUGCUAUUCAAUUCAUGUGUCCCCCUUGGCCCGUCAGAGUUGCACAAGCAACUUUCUGGACUAAGCCUUCAUAUUCAUGUGGAUGAUGAAAAUGACAAGAGAGAGAAAGAAGUCCCUCUUGCAGUUGGUGGCAGCCAGGAUGACGACUCUGCAGCUGUUUUAGAGGAAAGGAAAUCUAUUGGGGUUGGAGAUGCUGACGUUCAAGGUGUAAGUUGCAAUAGUUUGUCUAUUGGAGAGCUUCGUGAGUUAGCUGAUAAAAGCUUGAGUCCUGAAGUCAUUGCAGAAGAGAGAUUGGCUUCUAAUCCUUACCCUCUGGUUUUUUCAGAAAAUAUUGGAGUAACAUACAAUGAUCAGAGUUCUAACAACAUUAAUGAUUUACCUUUUGGAGAUGAACAUCAGGUUCAGAAGUCAAUGUAUAAAAGCACAUGCUUGCCUGCAGAGCGCAGUGGCAAUCAUGCUGGUGCAACAUGCUGGAUUCCUGAAAUCAGAAGCCAAAUUGUUUUUGAUUCUGAAAAUCAAUCAAACGACAUUGUUUCGUUAGUGAAUGGUGUCAUUGGUCACAACUAGCCUCUGAGGCUAUUGAGAUGGCUGCUGGUUGUCCGAUUCUGAAUUUGAAAGAUUUCUUCACUCGGCCUCUCCUAUUCUAUGUCCAUCUCAUGAUGUCUUCAGUGGUCAGACUUGCAAGGCCAAGCAGGUUGCUGGUAUAUCUGUGCAUAGGGAUGAGCCACUUAAUCUCUCUUUGGGGAGCUUGUGGCAGUGGUAUGAGAAGCCUGGUUGCUAUGGUCUGGAAGUAAUAGCUGAAGAUUGUGAAAAUUCAAAGAAAUUAGGAAUAGAUCAUUUUGAAUUUCAUGCCUAUUUUGUCCCAUCUUUAUCUGCUGUGCAGCUUUUCAGAAGAUGCAUGCCUUGUCCUACAGGAAAGAGCGACGUGAUGACUGAAACUGUGACAGGCAAGCCACAAGAGAUGAAUGAAACUGUAAGAUUUGCUGGUGCCACGCUUAUUCCAAUAUAUUCCAUACUUGUACCUCAACAUCACACUGAAAACAAACCCAUUUUGCCACCACAAAAUCAUGUCUCUGACUCUCAGCCACCUUCAUCGUGCAAAAAGGAAAAUGAGAUUAAUCGACCUGUCGGAUCAAAUUUUGCUGAUGAUAUAGAGCUUCUUUUUGAAUAUUUUGAAUGUGAACAACCUCAACAAAGACGUCCACUGUUCGAAAUGUAUGUAUAAUACCAUUCUUAGUAUGUAUGGUUGUGCAUAUUAUUUUUUAUGUUUGACAUGGGAGAUCCUGGCCCAUUUUUCUGAUCAUAUUUCCUUUGAUUUUGAUCAUUCUGUUCUGAAAAUUUUCAUCAUAAUUCUGUCAUAUAUGUCUAUUUUGACUUACACUUCUACUAUACACACUCAAACCUGAAUUAUAUGACCCUUCUGGAAUGGGUCGUAGCCCUCGUACCAUUGUGUGAUUCGCAUCAAACGAAUCCUCUUUUAGGUUGGGUAGAGUCCACAAGGUAGAUUUUGUUUUACAUGAUAUCGGUCUUCUUAGAAAAUUCCAUGGUGCUGCCUCUCCUUGUGAGCUCAUUUCUGCACCACAGCGACCUCCUCUAGGCCAGCUGCCACCAUGCCAUCCCCUUUUUUCACAAUGGAGAGAAGUAUCAAACUACAAAAUAUGUGAUAAUUGGCAUGGCAGAAGGCUUGGAUGCAUUUGAUGCCAGUGGCAUGAAAAAGAUCAGUGGUGGUCAAUGAAGUAGGAUUGAUGUGCCUCCUCCUUCACCUACCUCUGUCAACCUUUCUCUUUGGAGUAACUGUAUUGACAUUUAAAUCAGUAGUUGUGCUUGCUAAAGCAAUAAGUGAAAGUGGUGAUUCUUCCCCAACUUCUCAAAGUAGAUGUAAGAGGCAAGAAUAGUUGUGUGAUCCACGUGUUGCAAUGAGUUGACUUGCAGUCAGUAUAUUUUUUUAUUGAAGUGUGUAGAAAGACAAGGUUGAGAUAAACAAAUAUAGGUUUGACAGUAGGCACACAAUGGUGGGGGAAGGGUUGAAGUUUCCUUCAUGUGUUUGAAAACUUUGUGGGAUAUGGAUGGAGUUCAAGCAUAAGCCUCGGGAUUGUAAUGUAAUCUAAAAAUCAAUCCAUUAACUAAAUAUAAAUUUAUUUUUACCUUACCUCUUCUUUAUAUUUGUCAUUUAAUCUUACGGCAGACUUUAUAUUGUACUGACAUACGUUUUUUUAUUUGUAUCUAAAUGACCAAAAUCUACACAAAUACUUUGAUAUGGCUGGCAUUCACUGAUUUCACUAGUAGAGAACUGCAUAAGCACAGAGUUGCAUUUCCUUGACAGAGCUAUUUAAUUAAAUGCCUUGUAUAUACGUGUUAUGUUUGCAUUUGUAUAUCAGAAAAUGAGGCAGGAUGAACAGUUCACGAGCAUUUUUGAAGUCUUUGGAAAUCUGUGUGGCUUAAACAGAUAAAUACUUCUACAUAAUUCAUUGAUCUAAGGUCAACAUACAUAAAACUGGUUUCACAAACAAUCUGUGGAUUUAAAUUAUUUUCUGAUUCUUGUGUUUCAGGAUAAAGGAGCUUGUUAGAGGUGAAGGACAUUCAAAAUGCAGAGCACGUGGAGAUCCCACUGUUCUAGAGCAGGUGGGUCUACAGGAUCUUCACCAAAGUUCAUGGUCAGUAAAUGUAGAGACUAAUCCAGAAUAAUAAGUUAUGCAACCUUGUAAAGUUAGUUUGAUAUGAACAUGUAUUGUUGUUGAGCAUUGACAGUCUAUUUUCAGGUAUUCAGUUGCAUGGUAUCCCAUUUAUAGAAUACCUGAUGGCUCUCUUCGUGCAGCUUUCUUGACUUACCAUUCACUUGGCCAUUUGGUACGCAAAGACCCCAUACAUGAUUCGUCGGUGGAUACUUGUAUAGUUUCUCUGGUUGUGGGCCUCCAGAGCUACAAUGCUCAGGUAGAUAUAUUCUGCUACAAAUUCUUCUUCAAGUUCCCAAAGACCUGUGUCAUGCAUCCUCUGCUAGAGGAGCUCUUAACUGCUCUGUGUUAUUGCUUAGGAUCUAUUCCGCGUGUCUUUAUACAACUAGUACUGUAAAAUGCAAGUGUUGAGCCCUGAUUUUCCAUAGGGCAGUGAGGAUUAAUCAACUGAAAAUGUAAUGUUAGUUUGGAGGUCUCCUUGAACUUCCAUAAAAUCUAUUUAAUGUGGAAAAUAAAUAUUACUUCAAAAUUUAAGAGAGACCGCAUGAGUUCUAUAAUAUUAUUGCUGAAUGAUUAAACAAAAUGAGUAUUGUCAUUAUGCAACUAACAACUAUACAAUUAGAUGGAUGAAAUAAUAUUUGAGAUAACUCUAGGUUGUUGUGACCCCAGAAAGAUUAAGGCAACAAAUAACCUAAUUCUAGAUUGCCUCUGCAAAAAGAUUGUGGCCAACAAGAAACCCAAUUCUAGCAGUUAGCUUCACUAGAAGAUCAAGACAUUCUUGCCCAUGAAUGGCAUUGACAGAAUUUUACUUUGGUGGAAUACGAUCAAAACCAAAAAGAAUAUCAUGAAUGAUGCAAAAGUAUAGUUAUUUUUUCAAUAAUUACAUCCAUCUAUCCUGUGACUGCAUCAAAUUGUAAUGUUAAAUGACCACAAACGAAUGUAACAUUAAUUUGUUUAUGAUAAUCUGUUGCAAAUUUGAACAAUUAUGGCAAAAGAGGAAAAUUAAUUGUCCAAAUUUAUUGGGAUUAAGACUUAGUUUUUCUGUGUGUGGCAAAAACAAGAAAGAUGUAGCCUCUCUUCCUCUCGAUUAGUUAGAAACUUCCUGGAAUUGGAGUCUUUUAUUGCAUGGGAGAAACACUCUUUUACUGCAAUUACAGCAUUGCUGCAUUUUUACUGCACUUGACCAUUCUCUUUUACGUUCAAAAUGAACACUGAACCUGGUUUAUUAAUAUGUACCUAAUAAAGGCACACUUCUAUAAGUAUUGAACUUGAUAAUUUUCUCUGUUCUAUCUAUGGAACUGAAGUACUAUCCAUGAACUUCAUCAUUAAUCUUUGAAUAUAUUUUGCUUCCAAUCCAGUCUCUCUUGUAAUUGUAUAUCAAUGGCAAAUGAGCAGGGUGAAUGCUGGUUCCGGCCUAGACUCCCUGAAAAAAUUCUGACAGCCAACACUCCGGGAAUUUUGAAAGAGCGAUUGAGGACUCUCGAGCAGACGGCAUCUCAUAUGGCUCGUGCUGUCAUUAUGAGAGGAAGUCAGGCAUUUGUAAACAGACAGCCUGAUUACGAGUUCUUUCUGUCUAGGAGAAUCUAGUAAUUUCGUGUAUGUACUUAUUUUUUAUUUCUCAUGUAGAACUAGCUAGUGCUAAGGCUUAUUUAGUGUUGUAUAACAAUUGGUAAACUGAGGUUUUAUCCCUGCAGCAUACUUCCGUGUUUGCAGAUAAGCUUUGUAGAUUAUUUCAAAGUCAAUAUGCACUUAUAUUGCGAGUUUUGAAGGAUGCAAUGUGAGGAGGAAAUCGUGUGAGCAUGUUUGCCUUUG